AAAAUGUAUUAGCAGUUGACAAAAUGUUGAGUUUGUUGCUAUGUGGAAUUGAACAUCUUAAUGGUGAAAGAUAUGUUUGUGUGUGUGAUUAAUAUCCUUUCUGUAUUAUAGGUUUGUAUACUCAAACAUUCAGUUCAUAUACUCACUAUAUAACUCUAUUUGUACUCUAUGUAGAUAUGCGUAUGGUUUGAGCUCUGGAUAACAUC